rnacentral:rRNA from 1 species
UAACAAGGAUUCCCCUAGUAACUGCGAGUGAAGCGGGAUGAGCUCAAAUUUAAAAUCUGGCAGUCUUCUAGCUGUCCGAGUUGUAAUCUGGAGAAGCGUUUUCUGUGUUAGACCGUGUACAAGUCUCCUGGAACGGAGCGUCAUAGAGGGUGAGAAUCCCGUCCAUGACACGGACAACUAAUACUUUGUGAUACGCUCUCGAAGAGUCGAGUUGUUUGGGAAUGCAGCUCAAAAUGGGUGGUAAAUUCCAUCUAAAGCUAAAUACAGGCGAGAGACCGAUAGCGAACAAGUACCGUGAGGGAAAGAUGAAAAGCACUUUGGAAAGAGAGUUAAACAGUACGUGAAAUUGUUGAAAGGGAAACGCUUGAAGUCAGUCGCGUUGUACAGAACUCAGCCUUGCUCUUUUGCUUGGUGUACUUUCUGUAUUCAACGGGUCAACAUCAAUUUUGGCUCAUGGAGAAAGGUGGGGGGAAUGUAGCGUUGUUUCGGCAGCGUGUUAUAGCCCCUCACUGUAUACAUGGGCUGGGAUUGAGGAACGCAGCACGCCCUUGUGGCCGGGGGUUCGCCCCACGUACCGUGCUUCGGAUGUUGGCAGAAUGGCUUUAAGCGACCCGUCUUGAAACACGGACCAAGGAGUCUAACAUGCUUGCGAGUGUUCGGGUGGAAAACCCUUGUGCGUAAUAAAAGUGAAAGUUGGGAACCUCCGCAAGGGGGUGCACCGACGCCCGGCCCUGACGUUCUCUGACGGUGCUGCGGUAGAGCAAGUAUGCUAGGACCCGAAAGAUGGUGAACUAUGCCUGAAUAGGGCGAAGCCAGAGGAAACUCUGGUGGAGGCUCGUAGCGAUUCUGACGUGCAAAUCGAUCGUCAAAUUUGGG